ACACUGCUAAGUCACAUUAACUCUUUCAAAAAAGAGGAAAUACACCAGUAUACCAUAAAAUUACUGUCUGUCAAAAUAUCAACAAUGAAUUUGUACAUGUGUGUUUUGUGUACAUAUCAAUAACAACUAUUUUCUACAUUACAAAUGAGGCUAAUUUUGCCAUUUGUUGUAUCUGUCCAUGCACAACAGCACUGCCCCUUCACUGUAACAAGCUUCAACUGACUACUUCAAGACAUUUUACCACAUUUGCCUGUUUGUUAGUUGCGCGUCUUUCUUCCUUUGUUACCUGCAGGUAUCCAUAGACAAGGUAAAAGAGGAAGACUCCCGCCACACAAAUGAAAAACUGUGUGGGAGCACUGAAGCUGCUCAGGUUGAUUCCCAGAACCCUCAGCUCCUCCACAGACUUUAUGUGGGGCGACAUCACUUCCGUGGACGACGGGAUGGAGAUCGAAAUGUGCUUCCGUGAACUGUUGUAGCCCACCAGGCCAUAUUUGGCACUCAUUGUGUUUUUGGCUACUGGGAGCUGUGGGAACAUAAAGAGUGAUAAACAAGGACAAACACGCUGAGGAAGGGUGUUAGCCCGCUAGAGGUAGCCCCGGCACUCGCUGCAGUCGAGUCGCACAGGCAGCCAACAACUUCCGGUCUGCUGCGACCUCUGAACUGUGACGCUAUUGGUCCACCCAGCUGCACGCUACAGCAGGACGGCAUCCUCGAUGGUUCCAAUUUCCAGCCCAUUCCCCAAUUUUCAACCCCAGUGACAGACAACACACGCUGGAAUGUCUGUCUAGCUAAAGAAGGGAAUUGGUAAGUGAUGAUUGUCAAUGCUGUUUAAGAUAAAAACAAAGAGAAGGAGAGUUUGCAGCAGAUAAGGAUUCGCCUGCAUGGGUAGAGAGCGGGAAGCUCGGAGAUACUGGUUUGAAUGCGCUGCCGUUGUAGCCUCAUACCACGUGUGUGAUUUAUGUUACCUAGCGUAAGGAAAAACCACUGCUGUAGACUACUGUUAGAUUGACAUGAAGGACAAACUGCUUUUUUUUUUUUACCUCUGUGGAAGUUCAUUUUAUCAAGAAGAUUCAUGUGUGUGGUAAACAAUGUAAAAAUCAACAACAAAACAAAGUAUGUUGGAAGAGAGCUCUCAAAAAUAGUUGUUUACGUACAGAAACUGUGGCUGCAUUUGCAACAAUAUGUUCUUAAUAGCUUCAAAUUAAAUAAAAUAAAAAAAAACUAGUCUGUUGAUUCAAUAUGUAAUUCUAUUUAAAUUAAAAAAACAAAUAAAAAAGACAACUAGGUCUAACCCUUAAUCAAAGAAUUUUUUAUUUUUUUUAAAUUGUAAAAGAACUGAGUGUCAUGUGUGCCGAUGGUGCCCAACAAGAUCAGAAUAUUGACUUGAUUUGACUAACCUCUGGGGCGUGGAAAAUGCGUCCAGCAUGAAGGACUUUUUGUUGGUUGAAAAAAGCGUCUCAUUGUUGCACUUUAAGUGGUUUGUGUAAUCCCCUAUAACCAGUGCCAUGAAGCCAAAGGAUUCUGAAAAUCUGUUUUCAGCACAUUUUGAGUCGAAGCGAACCUGGAAAUUCUCUCCCUCUCUUUUCCCAAACCCUGUCAUGAAACAGAGCACCCCCAUUUCCAUAUCAAACGGAUUAGUUCCAAGACCAGGGAAGUAGGAGUAAUGUAAGUAACCGUACAAAUUUAAAUAUAGGACAUCAAAAACAUUGUUAAGCAUUGAUUUAUUUUUAAGCUGCCCUGACUUUCUGUGUCUCUCCGUGAAGAUGAGAUGAAAAUGUAUCUCCCCCGAUUUUAUUUUCAUUUCAUUUUGAAAAGGUGCUGAACACCGCAGUAUUUCAACAUUUCAUGUGCACCAAGGUGUCCUGCUGUGCUUGUGUGCUUAACCGCGCUGGUGAAAUGAAUAUGUCACAUUAAGCAAUGCACUUAAAAGCAACAUCACAACGAUUUCAGGUGGGCUGUGUUCGUGCAAGCUCAUUGUUGUUGGACAUUUCUGCAAAAUAUUCUGUAUAAUGGCUCCUGUGCCACUGACGGCAGCUGGAACUUCACACUCGCCACUCAACAUGAGAUUCAUAAUGUAUGUAAGUGUUGAAGCAUUUCCAUAUGUACAGGUUUUUGGCGUUUUGUGUACUGAUGGAAAAAAUUAUUUAAUGAGUCAGCUAUUAUAUUAAAUUCUUAUAAUGAAAUAAAAUGUUGUUACCGCAAUUAUAGGAAAAAAGUAUACUUCGCUGAGUGAAGAGAGACAUAGUAUGAAUAGCAAUUAACCAUUUUAAUAGAGGGUACAUCCCAAUAACAGGUUUGCCUUUUAAAUUGUGUGUGUGCUAGUGUGUGUGUGUGUGUGUGUGUGUGUGUGUGUGUGUGUGUGUGUGAGUUGCAGAUAUAAUUCAGCACUGUGUCUUGCUCACUGAUCUGACCUGGCAGGAGCUCCCUGUCCGGAAGAAGAGAUGGACAGAUGGAUGCCGACUGGGCUUCCGCAGCCCUUUAUGACUUAGCCUGUCCCCCUGUAAUUGAAAAAAAUAGCUUGGCCUUGUUGUUUUGGGAUUUGUCCCUUCAUAAUGUAGCUUGAAAACAGGAAAACCAAUAGUGGGAAUAGACCCCCAAAUAUAAUUAAUUUUGUGGG